AUGGAGGUGUCCCAUGAUGGAUGCAACUCUUUCAGAGAUGGGGCUGAAAUGGUGGGCCUUGCUGUGGCUUUGGAAUGCCUGUUCCAAGAUGCAGCUGCUUCUAAGCCCUGUCAGUUGUCAGAAGGUGGAGGCUGCUGCAUGGGGAGAGUUAUGGCAAUGGUUGCAGUAUCCCAAGAUGGAGGUAGAUUAGGCCUGGGCCUCCAGGUGGGGCCUACAGGAUGGACCAAGGCCUACCCUGGGCCUGGAUUCCUGAAUAAAAGUUUUGAUGCAGACACUUCCCCGAAGCCCACGAUUUUUCUUCCUUCACUUACUGAAAUAAAGCUUCAUAAGGCUGGGACACAUCUUUGUCUUCUCGAGAACUUUUUCCCUGAUGUUAUUACAGUAUUUUGGAAAGAGAAGUAUGGUAAUAGGAUUCUGGAAUCCCAGCAGGGAGAUACCAUGAAGACUAAAGACACUUACAUGAAGAUGAGCUGGCUAACUGUGACUGAAGAAUCAAUGGAUAAAGAGCGCAAGUGUGUUGUCAAACAUGAGAAAAAUAGAGGGGGAGUUGAUCAAGAGAUUCUGUUUCCUGCAAUAAAGAAAGCUUUCACCACUAUUAAUCCCAGAGAAGCUGAUCUGGAAGUUGAAAAUGAUGCACUGAGGCUGCAGCUCACAUACACCUCUGCCUACUGGACCUACCUCCUCCUGCUGCUCAAGAGUGUGGUCUACUUGGCCAUCAUCACCUUCUGUCUGCUUAGAAGAACAGCUGCUGGUGGCAAUGGGAAGAGCUCCUAA